AGGGGAAUUUUGGACAAUGGGCGAAAGCCUGAUCCAGCAAUGCCGCGUGUGUGAAGAAGGCCUUCGGGUUGUAAAGCACUUUUGUCCGGAAAGAAAUCCUUGGCUCUAAUACAGUCGGGGGAUGACGGUACCGGAAGAAUAAGCACCGGCUAACUACGUGCCAGCAGCCGCGGUAAUACGUAGGGUGCAAGCGUUAAUCGGAAUUACUGGGCGUAAAGCGUGCGCAGGCGGUUUGCUAAGACCGAUGUGAAAUCCCCGGGCUCAACCUGGGAACUGCAUUGGUGACUGGCAGGCUAGAGUAUGGCAGAGGGGGUAGAAUUCCACGUGUAGCAGUGAAAUGCGUAGAGAUGUGGAGGAAUACCGAUGGCGAAGGCAGCCCCCUGGGCCAAAUACUGACGCUCAUGCACGAAAGCGUGGGGAGCAAAACAGGAUUAGAUACCCUGGUAGUCCACGCCCUAAAACGAUGUCAACUAGUUGUUGGGGAUUCAUUUCCUUAGUAACGUAGCUAACGCGUGAAGUUGGCCGCCUGGGGAGUACGGUCGCAAGAUUAAAAACUCAAAUGAAUUGAC
rnacentral:rRNA from 1 species